GUUGACCUCGGAUCAGGUAGGAAU
rnacentral:ncRNA from 11 species